GGCCGUGUCCCCUCGGGCAGCGCCGGGCCGUGGGGGUCCGUGGGGUCCGUGGGGUCUGUUGGGUCCGUUCCUUUUGCUUUCACACGGCUGCAAUCACCGAACGGUGCCCGCGCUCCUCAGCAGCACAACGCAGCUUGCAGGAGGAAUCGGCUCUGAGCGCAGCAGAUCAGAGUGGUGGAUCAGCUCACCGCCCCGCACCGGGUGUAUGAUUUCAUCGACCUUCAGCAGUGCCUCGCCUCCAUGGAGACUGCACUCCUCGCUCCUGAGCCUUGCUGUGUUACUUCAAGGUUUGUGCUCCUGGAUCUCAGAGAGGCACAUCUAUACAGGGCAUGUUGCACCGUGGGACACAAGGGAGCUGGGAGAGAGGACUGGAAAGGGAAGAAAUCCAUUGGUGGCCAUGGCCAUUUUGGGAGGAUAUGAGCACAGCCAAGUGGGGCCUGUUGGAGUUGAGGGAAAACCAAUCCAGUGCAGCAGGUUUGUGAGAGCGUGAGUGAGAUCACGGCAGCAUAAGGAAUAUUAAUAGGAUUUGCACAGAUUAGUAAACUAAUCUGUGCAUUUCAGAUUGGAUUCCUCAUUAUGGAGAAGAAAAUUAAUCCACAUACCGUGCAGAAUUGCCAGGCAGUGCAGUGUGAGCAUGAUCUGAGUGCUGGGGAGAUGGCUGUGUAGCCCUGUUGGUGACUGAGCAUUGCACUGUGCCCUCCUGCAGCCAGGCCAGCACUGAGAAUGGCUUGGGUUGGAAGGAACCUCGAAGACCAUCUAUUUCCAACCCCUCAAGUCAAUGGCAUUUACCUUCAGGUCUCUGCCUGGGAGAAUGAAUGCUUUGGAGUGCUUGCGGAGCAGGGUUUGAGGCGUUCCCUAGCACACAGCAUGUGCUGGGUGUUUCAUUUCCCACCACUGCUGGGGUUGGUCUCAUCUCCCUUAUCAGCAGUAACUCCACUGAGCACCAUUUGUCACCACCAGAAGCCAUUUGCUCAUGGUAAACUGAUUUAAGGACAGGCACAGGAUGCUAUAAGGAUCCUGCCUGCUUUCUCUGGGGCCGUGACUAAGAAUAUGCUUGAACUGCUUAAAAAUAGAGUGAGCCUUAGAGGUACUGGUUUGAAGAA